AAUUAAUUAUGAACAUGAUUAAGAAAGCUAAAAUCUCAGGAGCCAGGAUCUCAUUACCCAUUCAGUCUUAGGGAUUGCUUUCAUUCAGCAAGGCAAAAAGGCUUUGAGCAGCCCCACAAUUGCUUUUCUCUCAUUUAUUUGUACUGGUGUGAGGGGUUGCUUGUUUUCUUUUUGUUCUUAUUCUGACAUAUUUUAUCAGUUUAACUGUGUAUCACAGUGUUUGUUUUAUUUUUUUUUUCUUAGCUCAUAUGGUGCAAUGAAGUGCCUAUGGGGCCUAACUCUACAUAUGUCUUCAAGCUGCAUCUGUUUUUUUGUGUACUCCUCUGAGUCAAAGCUCCUGGACCUUCAAAAUGCACUUCAAGAAAUACUAUAGAUUGAGAAAUAGAUCUUAAUCAGGCGAAUGAUCAACAUGGUCAACAUGGUCUUGUUCCUGAGAUUUGCUGCUAGUCUACUCCAUGACACUCAUGUGAAUUUCAAGAUGUAUAUACCAAUGGAGGUUCUAGGUAGUGCUGUAUCUGGAGAUGAGUGGAGGGCAUUACAUGAACUGCAUUUGGAAAACCUCUGGAAUAUCCUGAUCUUCCUCUACAACUCAGAUCAUUCUUGGAAUUCAGAUUGCCACCUCUUAUUUCAUAUAAAAGGGUGGUUUAUUGCAACAGGUUUAUUGCAUUAUGAAAAGGUUUGAUGAAUUGCUCGUCAUGCACAUGCUCGUGAUGUCACAUGCUCCUUAUGUGCAUGCAAAUGAGACACAACAUGGCUGCUCACAUCGGGAGCUCCCUCCCAGUGCGGGUAGCGUAGCGUUGGUGGGGGGCAUUUUUAAAUUAAAAAAAAAAACUACUGUUAUCCCCAACCGAAAUACGGGCUCUAUUAGCCCAUACCUUUGGUUGGGGAUGACAUUUUUACCCAACAGGUGCCCUUUAAUCAUAGGCUUCAUAAAGGGAGUUUAUUCCUGAAACGCGCUAGGUGAUAGAGGUCCUUGACCUGUUAUGCAAUAAACCACCCUUUUUUUAUAUCCGGAGUGCCACCUAUCUCUAUUUGGUCAAGCACAGUUACCAACAGUGGGAAUGCUGGUGGACACCCGGGACACCAAAUGGAAACUAAUUGAGGAGCACAAAUGUGGGGUUCAGAAGCAAAAACAACAGAUUUUUUUCCAGUGAUUGCAAAUAUGGUAAGGAUUACCUUAUUGCUCCCUGUAUGUAAUGAUGAUAAAUACAAAAUAAUA